CCUUAAGUCUUAACAUUUUUCAAUUUAUUUUCAAAUAUAAUUAUUAAAAUACUUUAGUUAAAAAUGAGUGUGUGUUAUCACUUUAAGUAGAAACCAAAAAAAUCCACAAAGUGCAACUAAACACAAAAAAAUUACUGAAAGAAAUGAAGACUGGGACAUCAGCCACCUGCUGCAGCCCAUCUUAUAGCCAGCUUCAGAGGAAGCAGCAAAGGCAAUGCUUAUCAUUCCAAGCUGUGUGAUAAUUUCUCUACUCAGUUGUCAGAGGCAUAAAGUAUUAAAUAUAAGUAUACAAAAUUACAGACAAAAAUGAAAA